CAGGACGAAACAACAAAAUCUCUACAACCAUUUUAAGCCUCUAAACACAUUUGGUCAGGACAAAAUAACAAAAUCGAAAUUAAGAGGGGAGAGAACAAGCAAUGCCCCCCGAUUGCAUUGUGAUUCAACGGUAAAAUAUAUCAAUCAGAAAAUUUUACAUUUAACACCUACAACAUUAAACAACACGUGCUGCCCCUUCUAGGAUAUCUGAUAUCUUACAAUUCGAUAUUUUGACAUAAAUAAAAAAAGCUUACUUGUCCUCGCUUACUUGUCUCGCCAUUAGAGUUCAGUCGUCUCAAUCUCUGAUCAAGCUCCGCCAUGACUGCUGGUUCUUG
rnacentral:lncRNA from 1 species